AGCAGCGUAGCUGAACAUCUUACGGAUGGCCCAGGGCUCCAAAGGCUCGUUUCCUAAGUGAGAGAGAGCCUGGCUGAAGCUGUAUUACCAUUCAUUCUCCAGCCUCCGAAGUCUCAAAGCAUCACUUCCACCAUACUCUAACUGUCAAGACAAACACAAAGGCCCAGAAAGAAGAAUACACUAUCGAUGUUCCUUUUAAACAAGUAUUUGAGUAAAAGCGAUGUUUCCAAUGUGUGUCAGAAAGUGAAUACUUGUAUAUUUCCGCACGGUUAGAGCUGAGCUUUCCGAGCAAAUUUUACUGGGACCCGGUUGAAAGACAGGUCUUGGAAGUGAAAUGAUGACUGACUAGAUGACAUUACAUGUAAAUGGAAUCAUACAAUAUGUGAUCUUUUGUGACUGGCUUCUUUCACUUAGCAUAACGUUUUCAAGAAACUGCCAGACUGUCUUCUGAAGUGGCUAUAAUAUUUACACUCCCAUCAGCAGUGUAGAAGGGGUCUCACUAUGUUGUCUGGAGUGCUGUGGUGGAGUGGAGUGGCUAUUCACAGGAUUCUUGGAAUGGACUGUAAAAGUCUGGAAUCAAGACUUUGUGUUUCCUCUCUAACAUGUAAAGAGCUUAGAAGUUGUCGCUAUUGCCCUUACAACAAAAUGAAGCUGGACAAACUGAAAAUCAAUGACUUUUCUUGGACUCACUAUACAGCUGAGUUUGCAGAGUAAACCACUACCCUGAAAUCUGGAAAGGCAGGUGCACCCACAGAUCCUCAGCUGAGAUCCAAUUACCUGAAAUAGAAGCUGCCAUUAGGAACACUUAAAAGCUCUGGAGGCUGGAGUUCACCAUUCAGCAUCUGGCAAGAGCUUGGGUAUUAAUCAUUUUUGCUUUGAAGAUGGUGCCUUUUCACUGCGUCUUCACAUGGCAGAAGGGAUAAAUGAACUCCAUUGGGCCGCUUUUAUAAGGGCACCAAUCCCAUUCAUGAGGGCUCCGUCCUCAAGACCUAAUCACUUCCUAAAAGCCCCAUCUCUUAAUACUAUUGCACUAGGGAUUAGGAUUCAACAUUUGGCGAGAACAGAAACAUUUAGGCCAUAACACAGAGCCUGUUCUGCUGGGACACAGAAUCACUUGCUCCAUCUCAUACAUUGAUGAUGAUUAAUUUGUAUGUGUACCUUCCAAAAAAGAUGGUUGUGUUUGAAUGGAGGCCUUCUGGACAGGAAAAUUGCAAAGUACAAUUAACAUUUGAGUCUGUCUGAGUCAUGAAGAAAUGGAGAUUACUGAAAAUAAUUCAUUUUGGUAUCUUCUUACAUCCUGAGAGACUAAUCUUUCCAAGUUCAUCUGAGGCUCCUCUUCUCCAUGACAACCUCAUCCAGGGAUUUCUUCCUGUCCUGGUGUUUUAUGACAUAAUCACAUCCUUCCUGAGAUAAUGAGCACACAAUUGCCUGGAUACCUGAAGGAAUGGAGACAGCGGCAGAAAACACUGCAGAGAGGUGGAAACAUCCGUUAAUAUUUUAAAAUCCCAUUACUGCUACCAACAAUAAUAAUGGAUGCAUAGAAAUAGAUCUGGAUUAGCUGAGCUUGAAACAGUCCAUCUCACACACACACAAAAGAAUUUCAGAUACAGUGAACCCACAUGUUGAAGCUUUCUAGUAUAAUAAAAAUUUCAACUGUUCUGUUGAAUCAUCUGCCUGAUUGGAGGCUACAGAAAAGAUGUCAUCUUAGGAGUGCUUGCUCUGAGUGAGGCUCAUCUUCAAAUCUGAAUGACCACAAGGAGAUUUGAUUAUACAUGUGAACACCUCAGAAGGCACAGCCCACCCAGAAGGCAGACAGGUCAGGCUGCUUUUUCUUCAUUGCUUGGAUUCAAUCCUCCGGGCGGCUCAGGCUCAAACAUAACUUAAGCAUGAUUAAACUUUAGAAGAAGCUGCCAGGAAGACUGUGAAAUCUUCAUGCCCAAGGAUCCCUAAAAUUAGGAGCAACAACCACUUGGCUCAGACGGUUUAUGGAGGCAAAGGUUUGGAUGGGAUUAGAGAUUUCUAAAUGUGAGUUCGUGUCCUCUGCCAGACCACCUUACUUCCACCAUUCCUCAGCAAAUCAAGAAAAACAGGAGAAAAGACAUGCCUUUCCAUAAGUUAAAUCUAUUCUGUUUUAAUUCUAUAUUAUAUCUGCUGUACAACUUCUUUUGUUUGUAACACCAUAUUGUUGCUAGUAACUGGAAAUUAAUUUUCACAUGCCUCAGCUUAGAAAAAUAAAAAGCAGCCCUGCAUCAAUCCCAA
ensembl:lncRNA LINC00635 long intergenic non-protein coding RNA 635